rnacentral:tRNA from 1 species
UGACAGCCAUAAGUGUAAUUUUAAAGUUUUUGAUAACCAUAUUUUAAAAAAGGAAAAGGAACUAUCCCCCAUAGAACCAAAUUACAGCUUUUUAAUUAAUUUUAAUUAAUUUUUAAUUACAACUUUUUAAUUUUUUUAGAUUAGAAAAUUCAUGGUGAUUUUCCUCUUUUUCACCAGUACAGGCUCCAAACUAGGGCCAAGGAAUAGCAGUGCUAGGGAUAUGGCUCUGAUCAUAUUUUCAGGGUCAUAAUAAGAAUUUUUAAAAAUCUAUCUUAGGGUUGGUGAUGCAGCUCAGUGGGAGAGCACUUGCCCGGCAUGCACGAGGCCCUGGGUUAGAGUCCCAGCACCUCAGGAAAAAAGAGAGAGGAGGAAGAAGAAACGUUGCUCAUCCCUCCUACCACCCUAAUUGCUCUUAGGCCUGUGUGUUCAGGGUCUGACCUCCACAGCCCAGAGCUGAGGGAAGACCCUUGUCAGGCUCACAGUGGGAGAAGGCCCAGGCAGAGCUGGCCAGAGCCCAACCAGACUUCCAUGAAAGACAACGGCUGCCCUAGGUGGUGCGCUCCCUGCUAUCCUCCCUGGCCACUGUCCCUGGGCCACCUGAAGAUGCCUGGUUUACACUGGUGUUCACUGGCUGAGUCCAAAGGAGAAUGCCAGCUCACAAGUAAAUAUUUGCCAUUCUGAGGACUACCUAUGUCUGGGCAGAGAGAAACAAACAUUUACCACCGGCUUGAUUUCAUCACUAGGCCACUGAGCAAGAAAAAUAAUCCCUUGUUACUGAAAGCAAGAUGUGACUUUAAAAACAUCCAAACACAUUUUGCUUUUAGACACAAACACAGGUAACUCCAAAUCACCAAGGAAGGAAAAUAUCAGUUUGGGUUCCACACUCCUCUACCCUUCAAAAUGCAUUCUGAGGGAAAUCCCUCCCUGGAUUUGGCGAUUUAUGACCGUCUUCAAGUUGUCUGGAGUCAGACAUCAAACUGAAUGAGCGGAGUUGGAACAUCUAAUGCAGCGGUACUCAGACUAUGCUAACACUGUCCCCAGUGUCCCCAGAGGGCCAUUUGGUGGAGGGUGAGGGUGUUUCCACAGCCGUCACCUUCAGUAGUGUAGAGGGCUACUGCAGUUAAGGGACAGGGGCCAACGUGUUCCAAGUCCUGCCAUGCAUGGGACAGUCCGUGCAGCAUGACUUGCUCCACUCAGAAUUCCCACAGAGAACCAAUCAAAGAGUUUCCUCAGGAAUUUAGAAUUAGACUAAGAUUCCAACUCAGUAUAAUUGUUCUCUCAAACCAAAAAGCUGGGACUUAGGAGCUGGGCGCUAGGACCAUUAUUUAGUUUGGGGACUGGGGAACAGAGGGAGCUGGUCUGCAGUGAGAGUGGACAGCUAAGGAACAGGACAAAGUGACAGGAGACUCUUGCUCAAACCCUCAUGUAAGCCUGGGGUCCUUACUGUACCCGAGGCUAAUCGACGACCCUGCUGCCCGUCUCUGUGACGCCCUGUUACUUGCAAACAAAAAAUUCUCACCUGGGAGAAACUACCUUCUGCACUACUUCCUUCUGCCACAUGAAUGGAGGGACAGAGAGCUGGACAGAAGGGCAGAGAGGCGCACAGGAAGCAAACUGCAAUGACUCCACAGCACCUGGGUUAGGAGGUCAGCCCAGGCGAGAAGGGACUCUAAAAUCCCUUAGGGAAAGGGACUGCGUGAGUUUGAAGCUGUCCAACCUGGAUCCCUCAUCAUGGUGGAGGGAUGAAGUUGUUUUAGCGUAGGUGUCACUGCCAGGGGUGUGUCUGUGGAUUAAAGGUCAGAGAAGGAAACAUCUGCAAGUUGACAGUAAAAUCCCCCUUCAUUUUUUUUUUUUUUUUAAAACUCAUGGGAACUUAACCAAUGAGCCUCAUCCCAAGCCCUGUAUAUUUGUUUAUUUAUUUAUUUUGAGACAGGCAGAGUCUUAUAAGUUGCUUAGGGCCCACAUUGCUGAGACUGGCUUUGAACUUGAGAUCCUCCUGCUUCAGCCUCCUGAGGUGCUGGGAUUACAAGUGUGCGCUAUCAUGCCUGACCCCAAAAUACUUUCUUUAAAAGGAAAAUGAAAAAUAAAAGACAAAAGCCCUCAUGCCCAAGGGAAAAACAUCUCUUAAAACAUUAGUGCCUGCGUUUAUAACUAGUCUUCUUUUUUUCUUUUUCCUUUCAGUGCUAGGGAUCAAUCCAUGGCCUCGUGCCUGCCAGACACUCUACCACGGAGCCCCAUCCCCAGCCCUUGUAAUUGGCUUUCUACCUGCUUGAGUAGAAUACUCAAGUCUGGUUGAAGGUGGUGGGUUUCAUUUCUGCUACACUGGAACUUGAUGGGGUGGAGCAGGAAGUUUAGGGGAAAUGGUUUAGGGGAUGUUUCUGUGGGUGGUGCCUAACUAUAGGGCUUUAGUCUUGUUUGAGAAGGGAGAUUAAGAACUUUUGGUUUUGUGAGCCAGAAAAUCAUAUACCAAUGACAGAGCAAUGGCUCAGGUAGUUUCCAUCAUCACCUGCCAUGACAGAUGGUGAGCAUGGGCCAGUGACGGAGGCAUGGUGGACGACAGUGUUCCCGUCAGGUGGCUGGCCUGGAGAGGGUGUGUGGCUGAGACUCCAUGCACAGCCUCCAUCCCAAUUUGCUUCUUGGAUUUGCAAGAGGAUGCCAGGUCCUGAGACUGAUGACCAGCACCUUCCCCACGGAUCCUGCUCUUGGCGCUAUCCACCCCUUAUUCCCUCAAGAGUCUUCUCAUCUCUCGACACCUCUGAACAUAGGAUUGGCUUCAGAAUGGAGUGACUUAAAACUCGAAUUAUAGCUGAGUAUGGUGGUACCUGUCAUCCAGCAACUGGGGAGGCUGAGGCCAGCCUGGACAGCUUAUCGGGCCUCUGUCACAAAGCAAAACACUUGAAUUACUGAAACACGAUAUCUUGAUUUCAAGAAUGGAAAAAAAAUUAAACAUGGCAAAAAUCAAGUCUUGUGAAAUA